AUUGAACGCUGGCGGCAGGCUUAACACAUGCAAGUCGAGCGGAGAGAGGUAGCUUGCUACUGAUCUUAGCGGCGGACGGGUGAGUAAUGCUUAGGAAUCUGCUUAUUAGUGGGGGACAACAUUUCGAAAGGAAUGCUAAUACCGCAUACGUCCUACGGGAGAAAGCAGGGGAUCUUCGGACCUUGCGCUAAUAGAUGAGCCUAAGCCGGAUUAGCUAGUUGGUGGGGUAAAGGCCUACCAAGGCGACGAUCUGUAGCGGGUCUGAGAGGACGAUCCGCCACACUGGGACUGAGACACGGCCCAGACUCCUACGGGAGGCAGCAGUGGGGAAUAUUGGACAAUGGGGGGAACCCUGAUCCAGCCAUGCCGCGUGUGUGAAGAAGGCCUUAUGGUUGUAAAGCACUUUAAGCGAGGAGGAGGCUCUUUUGGUUAAUACCCAAGAUGAGUGGACGUUACUCGCAGAAUAAGCACCGGCUAACUCUGUGCCAGCAGCCGCCGUAA
rnacentral:rRNA from 1 species